UCCACCUCCACAAGACACUUG
rnacentral:miRNA from 1 species